rnacentral:rRNA from 1 species
UACCAGAGUACUAUGAAUGUUUAAAAAUUUAAAACUCAAAGAACUUGGCGGUGUUUUAGACCACCCAGGGGAACCUGUCUCGUAAUCGAUAAUCCACGUUGUACCUGACCUCUUUUUGUUUUCAGUUUGUAUACCGUUGUCGUCAGGUAACUUUUUAGAAACUAGAAGUUAGCAAUUAAAAUGUUGGUAAUUUAAUAUGUCAAAUCAAGGUGCAGCUAAUAAAGAGGGGAGGAUGGGUUACAAUUAUAUAAUUCAUAAUGACGGAUAAGUAUAUGGAUAUGUGUUAAGUUAUAAGGAGGACUUGGAAGUAAAUUAGGGUAUAUAAAUAAUUUGAAUUAGGCUCUGAGACGUGU